ensembl:lncRNA
UUCAAAUUCACUCCUUCGAGCUAGCUUAGAUACUGAUUGACUUUGUCAUCUGCAAGCUACUCUGCUGGGCUAUGUUCUGUCCAUAGAUGGUCGCUUUCCCCAGGCUGUCAAACACCUCAAGCUGAAAAGUGUUAAUGUGGAAGCUGAGGAGUGGUUCAUUAGGGCAAGGUGCUUGCCGUACAACACUGAGGACCCACUGGGUUUGUAUGCCUGGAGCCCAUGUAGAAGCUGGACACAUAGAGCAAUUGUCUACAAUGCCAACUGUUGGGGAGAUGAGGGGCAGAGACUGAGUCCGCAGGAGCCCAUGGACCAGCUAGCCUGAAACACACAGCAGAGAAGUUACCAAGUGACCUGCCUUCAAUAUGUGGAAGAACAAACUUUUUAAAAACCCUCACACUAGCAAAGUGUUUUCCAGAAGGCCUGCAUUUAUUUGCAUCACCACGGGAAGACCUGUCAUCAUUUCGCCAGCAGGGAAGAUACUAAAAGUGUGUUAAUUCAGAAGGUUGUGGAAAUGCUGGCUGAAGUUUGACUGCAAUCACUCCGUUGAGGACACACUUUAUGUCUGGAGAUUCUGUGGUGAUUAUGGGCAUAAAAUUGUCCAGCAGUUGGAAGCCUUUAAUCAUUCACUUUGAUCAUUCUAGGCCAAAUUUUGUUUCAUGGCCUAAAAAAACCAUCUUAGUUGAAGGAAACAUCUGCUGUGCUGUCCACCAGAGCUUUGGAAUCCAAUCUGCUUUAUUUACACGGUCAUUUUAUGAGCAUUGGGCACGCUUAGAAACUCGACUCGUUGCUGAAUUUUCGACUGUGAACGUUCCACAUAAGUAGAAGUAAACGUUAACUUCCGUAAAAUGCACUGGCUAAAGCUCUCUGUAGACGUUGGUGGCUAAAUGCAGAACAGCCACUGUAUGUGCUGGAUUGUCUUCCCCUCCUGCUGUCUUAGAAGAUACGUGUUGAGCACAAAAUAUAUUUUAUUUUUAAGAAGGCUUUGUUUACCCCAGAUGGCACCAAUGCUGUUAAGGGUUUAUUUGUGCCGUGGUUACUUAUAGUGCAGAUACCGUGGGAAUUCAAC